AUUGAACGCUGGCGGCAGGCCUAACACAUGCAAGUCGAACGAGUGGCGGACGGGUGAGUAAUGCGUGGGAAACGGCCUGAUGGAGGGGUAUAACUAAUGGAAACUGUAGCUAAUACCGCGUACCAUCGGAUGAGCCCAGAUGGGAUUAGAUAGUUGGUGAGGUAAUGGCUCCCCAAGGCGACGAUCCCUAGCUGGUCUGAGAGGAUGACCAGCCACACUGUAACUGAGACACGGUCCAGAGUCAUACGUGAGGCAGCAGUGGGGAAUAUUGCACAAUGGGCGCAAGCCUGAUGCAGCCAUGCCGCGGGUAUGAAGAAGGCCUUCGGUUUGUAAAGUACUUUCAGCAGUGAGGCGUUACCCUCAGAAGAAGCACCGGCUAACUCCGUGCCAGCAGCCGCGGUAAUAC
rnacentral:rRNA from 1 species